AAAGUCGUAACAAGGUUUCCGUAGGUGAACCUGCGGAAGGAUCAUUAACAAAUCAAUCAAUCACGGUUGAGGGUCCGAGCCGCGCACGCGGCCACGGGCUCUCGACACAUGAACCCCGCGGGCUUUCGAGCCCGGGGUAGUCGCCCCACGCACGGGACUCGCAUCCCGGGCCUGAGGCGGCUGGCGGCUGACCCGGUUAGGGAAGGCCAAAACCAUAUAUAUACACCGUUUGUUUACGUUUGACAAGGUCAUUUUUAACGAAAUGUGCAUACAACUUUUAACAAUGGAUCUCUUGGCUCUU
rnacentral:misc_RNA from 1 species